rnacentral:lncRNA from 1 species
UUGGCGUUAGCUGAGUUCACCCUCACGUGGUGGUUUAGCGUGUAGUGAACUCUAAGGCUUUACCUCAGGAGAUAUCCUCCGCGCCUCUCGUACCGAGGUAAAUAUAUAACGGGGUUUACCAUGCCCCUCUAAUAGGCUAGUCCACGGAAACCCACCACUGCAGUGACUAAUCAAUAUCCCACCAAAUCAAUAAAAGUUUCAACAACAUGACAUGGCAAUUAUAUUACUAUCCAGCCUGUUAAGGCAAAACAAACAGUUCAUACAAUUUCAACACAAUUUCCAAUUCAUCCAUUCAUGCCAAUAUCACCAUAAGCCAUUCAAUUCAAACCAUAAAUUUACAACACAAACAAACAGUCUCCAAUUACUCAAUUUCUAAAAUCAUCAUUCAAUUUCAAAAUGAUUUAUAAAACUCAUUUCAUUUAAUCACAUUUUACUUAUAAAACAUAAGAAUUUACCAUUUAAACUCAUUUUUUUAUAAAAUCACAAAAACGAAUAAAAACUACUUUAGAUAAUUAAGACGAUAAUAAGGUUACUCACGAUAUUGGGAGUUCGAAAUACUCCUAUUCUUGGUCCUCUGGCAAAAUAUCUUUACCCUUAUUAGAAGACUCACCACCUAUACACAAUACACGACCAAUAAUUCAAUAUAUUGUGUCAGGUCAUUAUAAAUCUAUUUCAGGCUCUAUAUGAAUGCAUGAGGUUGUUUGGAUUAUUAUCUAAAUACAAUGUUCUACGUAGGUUCAAUUGUGUAUGGGGCUGAAAUGGUAUUGACUUAAUUCACACUAUACGCCGGUUAAUUGGCCAAAAUAUCCAAUUCAACUCCAAAUAAAUUCAUUUCACUUCCAAUACUCCAAAUCAUCAAAUAUAAGCUAGCUAACAUGAAUUAUAGCAAAAUCAUCCUCAACAUUUUCUCUUGAAAAAAUUCAACCAUGGAGGGUUCAUGAAUAAUAUGUGGUUUUUCAUGCUUGAUUUUUACACUUUACAUCAUUAAACAACUAAAAACACCUAAAUAGAAUGAAAUUCAUCAAAGUCCAUUUUCCAAUUUCUCUCUUGAAAAAUUCAGCCAAUGGGUGUGGGUGAAGGGCAUGAAAUUUCUUGCUUGUUUUCCAUGCUAAACAUCACCAAACAACUAAAAACACUAGAAUAACAUGAAAUCUAGCUAAAUCCAACAUCAAAACCCCUCCCCCCAUGUCCCGCCAGCAAAGGUAUCUUCAUGCAAACUUGAUUCUCAACCAUGGGAAAUGAAAACGAAUGCAUAGGAAAGGUAGAUCUCAAGCUAAAAUUGAAAAAUCUUACCUUUUGUCACUUGAUUCCUUGAAAUUCCAAAAUUUUCUCUUGAAUUUUUCUAACUAGGUUUUGUUCUUUCUUUCUUUCCUCUUUUCCUUGGUGAGGCCGAACAUAUGGGAGUGAAA